UGUUUGUCUGCGCAAAGGAUCGCAGCGGAAAUCCUUUCGUGAAACGAAAGAUUGGAGCGAAGAGCCUGGUCGUUU
rnacentral:sRNA from 1 species